AAUAAGUGUAGUUUUGCAAUAUUCAUCUUCAACAUUUGACUGUUCGUCUUUUGUGAAAAAAUUUUAUAAUUACUAUUUUUAUUGUUAUUAGAUGAUAAAAUAUGAAUAGUACUUUAUGUGUGACUAUUUUUUUUAAAAAAUCAUAAACAAACGUUGGACACGGAUUUUCACGGCUGUACCUGAG
rnacentral:pre_miRNA from 1 species